GUUAAGAAUCACUUUAGCACAGAAGCAAAAAUUGAAAUGACACAGAGAUAAUUAGCAUGGCCCCUGCACAAGGAUGGCAUUCAAAUUUGUUAAGCAUAUUUCCAUAAUUUU